rnacentral:rRNA from 1 species
GCGCGAAAAUUUUCAAUGCGGGAAACCGUGACAAGGGAACCCCGAGUGCCCGUAAAAUCGGGCUGUUCCGGUGUACAAAAAGCACCGGGAGAAAGGGCCGGGCAAGACCGGUGCCAGCCGCCGCGGUAAUACCGGCGGCUCGAGUGGUGGCCACUAUUACUGGGCUUAAAGCGUUCGUAGCUGGAUUGUUAAGUCUCUUGGGAAAUCUACCGGCUUAACCGAUAGGCGUUCAAGGGAUACUGGCAAUCUAGGGACCGGGAGAGGUGAGAGGUACUCCAGGGGUAGGA